UACAGAGGUCCCAACCGUUGUUCGGAUUUAUUGGGCGUAAAGGGCUCGUAGGCGGCCAACUAAGUCAGACGUGAAAUCCCUCGGCUUAACCGGGGAACUGCAUCUGAUACUGGAUGGCUUGAGUUCGGGAGAGGGAUGUGGAAUUCCAGGUGUAGCGGUGAAAUGCGUAGAUAUCUGGAGGAACACCGGUGGCGAAGGCGGCGAUCCUGGACCGACACUGACGCUGAGGAGCGAAAGCCAGGGGAGCAAACGGGAUAGA
rnacentral:rRNA from 1 species